UGUGCCUCCCUGAAACAGUCUGAAGUUUUGGCUUUCGUGAAUCCUUGAAAAGAUAUACAUGUAAGAAGCUCUCCAUAUAUCUUCCUUUCUGCCUCAAAAACUGAAAAUUGAAAAAUCCACCAUGUGAAGAUGAAAGUUCUUCUUCCAGGAAGGCUAAGUUUCUCCCGGAAUUUCUCUGUCAUGGAUGACAACUAUAAAUUAUACCAACCAACUAACCAACCUACCAAACUCUUCCUCUCCACAUCUUUCCAAUUCCUCCACCAUAUCAUUCCUGGACUCAAUCCCUUAAGCCCCUAAUAUGCAAAUAGACCGAACAGCAGAACAACCGAAUAACCAAACAACCAGUUGCUAUGACGUAUGGUGACCACCAGGAGG